GUGCUUGCUUUGGCAGCACAUGCACUAAAGUUGGAAUGAUAGAAAGAGUGGCAUAGCCCUUGUGCAAGGAUGACAGGCAAAUUUGUGAAGCAUUACAUAUUUAA
ensembl:snRNA U6 U6 spliceosomal RNA